rnacentral:rRNA from 1 species
UACAGAGGGUGCGAGCGUUGUCCGGAAUCACUGGGCGUAAAGGGCGCGUAGGCGGCCCGGUAAGGUUGCGGUGAAAGCCCGGGGCUCAACCCCGGGUCGGCCGUGGCAACUGCUGGGCUGGAGCACAGUAGAGGCGGGUGGAAUUCCGGGUGUAGCGGUGGAAUGCGUAGAGAUCCGGAGGAACACCGACGGCGUAGGCAGCGCCCUAGACGAGACCUGACGCUCGGGCACGAAAGCGCGGGGAGCGAACAGG